rnacentral:rRNA from 1 species
GACGAACGCUGGCGGUGUGCUUAACACAUGCAAGUCGAACGGUAAGGCCCUUUCGGGGGUACACGAGUGGCGAACGGGUGAGUAACAAGUGAGUAACCUGCCUUCAUCUCUGGGAUAACAGUCGGAAACGGUUGCUAAUACUGGAUAUAUGCUUGCACGGCAUCUUGUGUGUUGGAAAGAUUUUUUUUGGUUGGGGGUGGACUCGCGGCCUAUCAGCUUGUUUGUGAGGUAGAGGCGCACAAAGGCUUCGACGCGUAUCCGGCCUGAGAGGGCGACAGGCCACAUUGGGACUGAGAGACGGCGCAAACACCUACGGGAGGCAGCAGUGGGGAAUAUUGCACAAUGGACGGAAGUCUGAUGCAGCAACGCCGCGUGCGGGAUGACGGCCUUCGGGGUGUAAACCGCUCUCAAGUGUGACGAAGCGUUUGUGUGACGGUAGCAGUAGAAGAAGCACCGGCUAACUACGUG